UACGGAGGGUGCAAGCGUUAAUCGGAAUUACUGGGCGUAAAGGGUGCGUAGGUGGUUGUAUAAGUUAUCUGUGAAAUCCCUGGGCUUAACCUGGGCAGGUCAGAUAAGACUGUAUAACUCGAGUAUAGGAGAGGGUAGUAGAAUUUCCGGUGUAGCGGUGAAAUGCGUAGAGAUCGGAAGGAACACCAGUGGCGAAGGCGGCUACCUGGCCUGAUACUGACACUGAGGCACGAAAGCGUGGGGAGCAAACAGG
rnacentral:rRNA from 1 species